GACGAACGCUGGCGGCGCGCCUAACACAUGCAAGUCGAGCGGGGCCUUUAAACGAUUCCUUCGGGAUGAAUUUAGAGUAACCUAGCGGCGGACGGGUGAGUAACACGUGAGCAACCUACCCUAGAGUGGGGGAUAACAGCUGGAAACAGUUGCUAAUACCGCAUGAAGUUGAGAGAUGGCAUCAUCAUUCAACCAAAGAUUUAUCGCUUUAGGAUGGGGCUCGCGCCUGAUUAGCUAGUUGGUAAGGUAAUGGCUUACCAAGGCGAUGAUCAGUAGCCGGACUGAGAGGUUGAUCGGCCACAUUGGGGACUGAGACACGGGCCCAGACUCCUACGGGAGGCAGCAGUGGGGGAUAUUGCACAAUGGAGGAAACUCUGAUGCAGCGACGCCGCGUGAGCGAUGACUGUCUUCGGACUGUAAGCUCNGUCAACGGGGACGAUAAUGACGGUACCCGUGGAGGAAGCCACGGCUAACUACGUGCCAGCAGCC
rnacentral:rRNA from 1 species